rnacentral:rRNA from 1 species
GUCUGUAGUCAUACCACCCUGAAUAUGCUUGAUCUUGUCUCAUCUCAGAAGCUAAGCAGGUUGAGCCUAGUUAGUACUUGGAUGGAAGACUACCUGGGAAUAUGUGUUGCUGUAGCCU